GUCUCCAUAGUGUAGUGGUUAGCACAUCUGCUUUACACACAGAAGGUCCUGGUUCGCUCCCCAGGUGGAACCA
rnacentral:tRNA from 1 species